GUUAUAUGGUCAAGUGAAGAAGCGCAUACGGUGGAUGCCUUGGCAGUCAGAGGCGAUGAAAGACGUGGUAGCCUGCGAUAAGCUUUGGGGAGUCGGCAAACAGACUGUGAUCCAGAGAUCUCUGAAUGGGGGAACCCACUCAGCACAAGCUGAGUAUCUUGUACUGAAUACAUAGGUGCAAGAGGCGAACCAGGGGAACUGAAACAUCUAAGUACCCUGAGGAAAAGAAAUCAACCGAGAUUCCCUUAGUAGUGGCGAGCGAACGGGGACCAGCCCUUAAGUUGAUUUGAGAUUAGUGGAACGCUCUGGAAAGUGCGGCCAUAGUGGGUGAUAGCCCCGUACACGAAAAUCUCUUGUCAAUGAAAUCGAGUAGGACGGAGCACGAGAAACUUUGUCUGAACAUGGGGGGACCAUCCUCCAAGGCUAAAUACUACUGACUGACCGAUAGUGAACCAGUACCGUGAGGGAAAGGCGAAAAGAACCCCGGAGAGGGGAGUGAAAUAGAACCUGAAACCGUAUGCGUACAAGCAGUGGGAGCCUACUUUGUUAGGUGACUGCGUACCUUUUGUAUAAUGGGUCAGCGACUUAUAUUCAGUGGCGAGCUUAACCGAAUAGGGGAGGCGUAGCGAAAGCGAGUCUUAAUAGGGCGUUUAGUCGCUGGGUAUAGACCCGAAACCGGGCGAUCUAUCCAUGGGCAGGUUGAAGGUUAGGUAACACUGACUGGAGGACCGAACCGACUACCGUUGAAAAGUUAGCGGAUGACCUGUGGAUCGGAGUGAAAGGCUAAUCAAGCUCGGAGAUAGCUGGUUCUCCUCGAAAGCUAUUUAGGUAGCGCCUCAUGUAUCACUCCAGGGGGUAGAGCACUGUUUCGGCUAGGGGGUCAUCCCGACUUACCAAACCGAUGCAAACUCCGAAUACCUGGAAGUGCCGAGCAUGGGAGACACACGGCGGGUGCUAACGUCCGUCGUGAAAAGGGAAACAACCCAGACCGUCAGCUAAGGUCCCAAAGUCAUGGUUAAGUGGGAAACGAUGUGGGAAGGCUUAGACAGCUAGGAGGUUGGCUUAGAAGCAGCCACCCUUUAAAGAAAGCGUAAUAGCUCACUAGUCGAGUCGGCCUGCGCGGAAGAUGUAACGGGGCUCAAACCAUGCACCGAAGCUACGGGUGUCAUCUUUGAUGACGCGGUAGAGGAGCGUUCUGUAAGCCUGUGAAGGUGAGUUGAGAAGCUUGCUGGAGGUAUCAGAAGUGCGAAUGCUGACAUGAGUAACGACAAUGCGAGUGAAAAACUCGCACGCCGAAAGACCAAGGUUUCCUGCGCAACGUUAAUCGACGCAGGGUUAGUCGGUCCCUAAGGCGAGGCUGAAAAGCGUAGUCGAUGGAAAACAGGUUAAUAUUCCUGUACUUCCAGUUAUUGCGAUGGAGGGACGGAGAAGGUUAGGCCAGCCUGGCGUUGGUUGUCCAGGUUUAAGGUGGUAGGCUGAAAUCUUAGGCAAAUCCGGGAUUUCAAGGCCGAGAGCUGAUGACGAGUUGCCUCUAGGCGACGAAGUGGUUGAUACCAUGCUUCCAAGAAAAGCUCCUAAGCUUCAGAUAACUGGGAACCGUACCCCAAACCGACACAGGUGGUUAGGUAGAGAAUACCAAGGCGCUUGAGAGAACUCGGGUGAAGGAACUAGGCAAAAUGGCACCGUAACUUCGGGAGAAGGUGCGCCGGCGAGGGUGAAGGACUUGCUCCGUAAGCCCAUGCCGGUCGAAGAUACCAGGCCGCUGCGACUGUUUAUUAAAAACACAGCACUCUGCAAACACGAAAGUGGACGUAUAGGGUGUGACGCCUGCCCGGUGCCGGAAGGUUAAUUGAUGGGGUUAGCGCAAGCGAAGCUCUUGAUCGAAGCCCCGGUAAACGGCGGCCGUAACUAUAACGGUCCUAAGGUAGCGAAAUUCCUUGUCGGGUAAGUUCCGACCUGCACGAAUGGCGUAACGAUGGCGGCGCUGUCUCCACCCGAGACUCAGUGAAAUUGAAAUCGCUGUGAAGAUGCAGUGUAUCCGCGGCUAGACGGAAAGACCCCGUGAACCUUUACUAUAGCUUUGCACUGGACUUUGAAUUUGCUUGUGUAGGAUAGGUGGGAGGCUUUGAAGUGGGGACGCCAGUUCUCAUGGAGCCAUCCUUGAAAUACCACCCUGGCAACUUUGAGGUUCUAACUCAGGUCCGUUAUCCGGAUCGAGGACAGUGUAUGGUGGGUAGUUUGACUGGGGCGGUCUCCUCCCAAAGAGUAACGGAGGAGUACGAAGGUGCGCUCAGACCGGUCGGAAAUCGGUCGUAGAGUAUAAAGGCAAAAGCGCGCUUGACUGCGAGACAAACACGUCGAGCAGGUACGAAAGUAGGUCUUAGUGAUCCGGUGGUUCUGUAUGGAAGGGCCAUCGCUCAACGGAUAAAAGGUACUCCGGGGAUAACAGGCUGAUACCGCCCAAGAGUUCAUAUCGACGGCGGUGUUUGGCACCUCGAUGUCGGCUCAUCACAUCCUGGGGCUGAAGCCGGUCCCAAGGGUAUGGCUGUUCGCCAUUUAAAGUGGUACGCGAGCUGGGUUUAGAACGUCGUGAGACAGUUCGGUCCCUAUCUGCCGUGGACGUUUGAGAUUUGAGAGGGGCUGCUCCUAGUACGAGAGGACCGGAGUGGACGAACCUCUGGUGUUCCGGUUGUCACGCCAGUGGCAUUGCCGGGUAGCUAUGUUCGGAAGAGAUAACCGCUGAAAGCAUCUAAGCGGGAAACUUGCCUCAAGAUGAGAUCUCACUGGAACCUUGAGUUCCCUGAAGGGCCGUCGAAGACUACGACGUUGAUAGGUUGGGUGUGUAAGCGCUGUGAGGCGUUGAGCUAACCAAUACUAAUUGCCCGUGAGGCUUGACCAUAUAACACCCAAGCAAUU
rnacentral:rRNA from 1 species